rnacentral:rRNA from 1 species
GACGAACGCUGGCGGCGUGCCUAAUACAUGCAAGUAGAACGCUGAAGCGAGGAGCUUACUCUUCUUGGAUGAGUUGCGAACGGGUGAGUAACGCGUAGGUAACCUGCCUUGUAGCGGGGGAUAACUAUUGGAAACGAUAGCUAAUACCGCAUAACAAUGGAUGACACAUGUCAUUUAUUUGAAAGGGGCAAUUGCUCCACUACAAGAUGGACCUGCGUUGUAUUAGCUAGUAGGUGAGGUAAUGGCUCACCUAGGCGACGAUACAUAGCCGACCUGAGAGGGGGAUCGGCCACACUGGGACUGAGACACGGCCCAGACUCCUACGGGAGGCAGCAGUAGGGAAUCGUCGGCAAUGGGGGCAACCCUGACCGAGCAACGCCGCGUGAGUGAAGAAGGUUUUCGGAUCGGAAAGCUCUGUUGUAAGUCAAGAACGGGUGUGAGAGUGGAAAGUUCACACUGUGACGGUAGCUUACCAGAAAGGGACGGCUAACUACGUG